UGGCCUACGGGGGGCAGCAGUGAGGAAUAUUGGUCAAUGGGCGAGAGCCUGAACCAGCCAAGUCGCGUGAGGGAGUACUGCCCUAUGGGUUGUAAACCUCUUUUGUCGGGGAGCAAAAGCCGGACGUGUCCGGCUGUGAGAGUACCCGAAGAAAAAGCAUCGGCUAACUCCGUGCCAGCAGCCGCGGUAAUACGUAUGGAGCAAGCGUUAUCCGGAUUUACUGGGUGUAAAGGGAGCGCAGACGGCAAGGCAAGUCUGAUGUGAAAGUCCGAGGCUCAACCUCGGGACUGCAUUGGAAACUGUCU
rnacentral:rRNA from 1 species